AAGGUAUAAGUCCUGGACCUAUACAGCUAGGUCCUUGGACUUACUGCAUGUUUGAGCUAAGUGAGAUAAAGCUGUCAGGUGCUUUGUAAAGCUUGACUUAUGUGGUCACGUUGGUGAUCAGGCUAAAGUUCGGGGUGACUUGUUUUUCAUGAGCUUGUUGAAUGGAGGACAAGAGGAAGAAUGGAAAAUAACCAGAAAUCAGCUAGAGUUCAUGCACCGUUGUGAUUGCAUUAUUUUUUCUCGUUGGUGGAAUUUUCCUUCAAGUUAGAAUAUUUUGCGUCUAGGAAAGUAAGGAAUCAGCAUUCUGAAAAUCCAGGGAUCUUUAUUAAAGCUUAGAUGGACUCUUGGCAUUGGUUAGAGUUUUCAUAGUUAGCUACUCAAGAUAUCUUGAUGAGUUUGAGUUGUAUUUUAGGGAUUUAGGAUGUAAAUCUUAUCUCUUCCAGAAAUUAUUCUAAGACCUUAUUAGGAAAGGAAUAGGAGCCUAUUGCAGAAAUGUGUGAAGCACAUACGAUUAUAUCAGAAACAGAAAUCACCUCUCCCCACCUCUGCAAUCAUUUCCUGCAAUACUUUGUAUGACAUUACACUUUUAGAGGAUUUGACCCUGAAAGCUUUUACAGCUAAAAGGCAUGUGAUUUUGUUUUAGCUCUUAUGUUCUCAGAGUGGAGAACAGUGCCCGGUGAGUCAGCCUGGUUUAGGGAGGAGGGCAGGACAGCAGCUAGUAUUUCAUAUCUCUGCAUAAGUGUUUCUGCAGCAACUCAGUGCAUCUUCUGGAUGCCUCUGCCCCCAGUCCCUUUCCCCCAUGUAAGCAUCUAUCAGCUCUGUGAGGCCCUGGAGUUUCUUAGGCUUGGUGGUAUGAAAAGGUAGCUGGCCUCCAGUCAGAUGCCAGUCUCAGUGCUGGCCACAGCCCCAGGAGAGAUGGCCGUCGUGCUGUUGCUGGUGAGAGCUGCUUGUGUCUACAGCAACAGCUCACUGAUUCCCACCUGAAAAGAAAAUUGUUAGAUGGGGCUUGGGGUAGUUCUUUCUUUUUGUGUGUGUGACGGUCUCAUUAUGUAGCCCUAGGCGGUGUGGAACUUACUGUGUAGACCAGGCUAGCCUCAAACUCAGAUGUGUCUGCUGCCUCUGCCUCUGAUGUGCUGGGAACGAAAGGUGUGCGAGCCAUGACACUAGCAUAGCUUACUGUUUUUAAGGUAGUUCUAAGCACUAGUGUCUAUUAAAGUAGUUGGGAGAUGACAAAUGGCCAGUGAAACUCUUAGUAAAGCUUGGCUCUGUGGCAUAGUAAAGACCUGCUGUCCUUCAUGCCUUGUGUCUGAUCACAAAUUAAAGGGCCAGUGCUAAGGAGAGACAUCCUCUCUACAAGUCCUUGCAAUGACUGAACCUGUGUGUUUCAAACACGGUGACGUGAGGUUCUUCUGGUACACUGAAGCCCGAUAGUAGAGUUAAACUUGUCUAGUUCUUCCUUCCUUCCCUUUUAAAGGAAGGAGUUAGCUGUUUAGGUGUUAUGUAUGCUUUUCCUUAUUCAAGACUCUUCUUCUGGCUGGGCCUGGGCCUCUCUAAUUCUCAUGCUUGGGUGUGGUUGAGGUGGAAGGAUAAUCCCAAAUUUAAGGCCAGCCUGGGCUGUAUAGUAAAAACAUGUUUCCAAAUAGCAGAUUAUUUUCUUCUGCAUCUGUCGUUCAAAGAACUUGUGGAAAAACACGAUUGACAAAGUCCAUUCAUGAACGCCUGAAGCAAGACUGGUUUACAAAUGAGUGUCCCUCACAGGGAACCAAGUGUAGGCCAGGCUGUCCUGUGGCCUCACCUCCCCGUGGGUGUGGCACAGUAGAACUUAUCAGCAGAUCUGAUAGGGUACUGUGAUCUGCUGAUUGUCCCAGUGUGGUAUUUCUGGAGUGAGGUGACUCAGAGCAGAGCUAUUGGGUUCUCUGAAACAUUAAUUUCCCCUGCCUAUUGUUUUAGCCUAGUGUGUGGGGCCAUCAGAAGAACAGUGGGACAGCCAGCCAAAAUCAACAGGAUUGACUAUGCAUGGCACCUAUCUUUAAGAUGCCUUUGUUUCUGGAGCAAACAUUGUGAAAACGAUUUAUGUGCUAUGCUGUGUCACAGAAAUACUUACAUUUGGUUUUGAGAGGUAGGUACACAUUCUAAGUACCUAUAAAAGCUGAAGUCAUGUGACUUUGAAGAAGUCCCUGAAGCAGGGCCUGGGUGUGUGUGGGAAGCUCCAUUGGUAAAGUGCUUGAUUUGUAGGUGUGAGGUCCUGAGUGUGAGUCCUAGAACCCACGUAAAAGCAGGUACAGCAGCAGUGAGGGAGACAGGCGGGAGAAUCCUUGGGGCUGAUUGUAUAGCCUGGUCCCAGUGAGAGACCCUAGCUCAAAAACGAAAAUCGAUGGGUCCCGAGAACUGACACCCGGGCUGACCUUGGCAUGAGGAAAGUUCUAUUUUUGUGUUUUUGUUUUCCAAAGCUAAAAACUGAAAAUCUUAAAGGCAUUUUCACCAACAUUUACAAGUUUUAGUAUCUAAAUCAGUAAUUUAAAAGUCAGACUGUGUAUUAAAGUCAUAUGUAGAGU
rnacentral:lncRNA from 1 species